rnacentral:tRNA from 2 species
CGGGGUGUAGCGCAGUGGUAGCGCGCAUGCUUCGGGAGCAUGAUGUCGCAAGUUCAACUCUUGUCACCCCGACCA